rnacentral:rRNA from 1 species
CAGCCGCCGCGGUAAUGCUUAGGGUGCGAGCGUUAAUCGGAAUUACUGGGCGUAAAGCGUGCGCAGGCGGUUUUGUAAGACAGGCGUGAAAUCCCCGGGCUCAACCUGGGAAUGGCGCUUGUGACUGCAAAGCUAGAGUGCGGCAGAGGGGGAUGGAAUUCCGCGUGUAGCAGUGAAAUGCGUAGAUACGCGGAGGAACACCGAUGGCGAAGGCAAUCCCCUGGGCCUGCACUGACGCUCAUGCACGAAAGCGUGGGGAGCAAACAGGAUUAGAUACCCGCGUAGUCCCUGUCUCUUAUAC